UGGGGAAUUUUGGACAAUGGGCGCAAGCCUGAUCCAGCCAUGCCGCGUGCGGGAAGAAGGCCUUCGGGUUGUAAACCGCUUUUGUCAGGGAAGAAAUCUUCUGAGUUAAUACCUCGGGAGGAUGACGGUACCUGAAGAAUAAGCACCGGCUAACUACGUGCCAGCAGCCGCGGUAAUACGUAGGGUGCAAGCGUUAAUCGGAAUUACUGGGCGUAAAGCGUGCGCAGGCGGUUUUGUAAGACAGAGGUGAAAUCCCCGGGCUCAACCUGGGAACUGCCUUUGUGACUGCAAGGCUUGAGUGCGGCAGAGGGGGGAUGGAAUUCCGCGUGUAGCAGUGAAAUGCGUAGAUAUGCGGAGGAACACCGAUGGCGAAGGCAAAUCCCCUGGGCCUGCACUGACGCUCAUGCACGAAAGCGUGGGGAGCAAAACAGGAUUAGAUACCCUGGUAGUCCACGCCCUAAAACGAUGUCAACUGGUUGUUGGGAAAGGUUCCUUCUCAGUAACGUAGCUAACGCGUGAAGUUGACCGCCUGGGGAGUACGGCCGCAAGGUU
rnacentral:rRNA from 1 species